CGUGGCCGACGUGUUCUCUUUUGUCCGCUAGAGGUCCCGAACCUUUCCGUAUUUAUUUCCGAGAGAACGCAGGAUUUUCCUGCCCGCCUUGUUUCCUCGCCCCCAAGGACCCUCACCUGGAAAUUCUAUAGGUUUCCCUUUCCUCUUCCUUGUCUGUCUGUCCUGCCCUUCUUUAAUUUCUGCGGCGCCCCGACUGGAUGUGGUGUCUCCCACUGCAAGAUCUAAGGAUCUCCAAAUCCCAGCAUCUCCCCCUUCUGGCUUCAGGCCCUGUCACUCAGUCAGCUCUAGGGCCUGGAUCCCAGGACAUUAUCUAUCCCUCCCCUUGGUCCCUUAUUGAUGUCUUCCCGAGAGUAAGGUGGAUUACAGGGUCUUCGGAAAGUGGUGAACAUUAAAUGCUUGGAGUGAGGAUAGGCCUGAGCCUGAUCCAGGAUGGCUUGCAGACCUCCUCCACACCCAGGGCCCUCCUGCUGCACUGGCAGGGCUAGUAAUCUAGAAGAGACAGGACAGCUACACACCAGGACCUAAUCCAGUCCCAGGAAUACCAGAGAAGAGGCUCUGUGGCAGGUUCCAGCUGUGCAAUUCUGGUUAGCCCAGGGGCUCAGUCACUGAAUGUGGAGUCAGAAGAAAUGAAGGCAAGAGGCAGAAAGAACUUGCAUUUUGAUUAUGGUAAAUGAGUCAUGGUGGUACAGUUAACCCAGACCAAUAAACUCCUUUUUUGUUUAA